rnacentral:tRNA from 1 species
AACCGCGUCAAGCGCCUAAUGGACAAGGGCGUCUGACUUCGAAUCAGAAGAUUGAGGGUUCGAGUCCCUUCGUGGUUA